UUUUUUUUUAAAUUUACACAUUAUUUUACUAUUCCAAUGAAACCAUUGAAUUUGUUUUUGCAUACACAUACUCUGUCAUAAAAAUAAUAGAGAUUCAUGAUUGUAAAGCAGGAAAUACAGAUAAGUAAAAGGAAGAAAAUUAAAAUAUCCCAUGAUUUCUCUGCCGAGGGAUAAUGAUAUAAUUGUAAACAUUUUGGUGAUUAUUCCUGUCUCUUUUCUAUGUCUUUAAGUACAUAUGCCCAGAAUAUGCGUUCUUCUAAAAAUGUGAUUAUGCCCUGAUUAUUGUCACCCAAUUUACUCUAAUAUCUAUUUGUGCUUCUAAAUCUAGAUAUGGCUUCACCAAGGAAGUGAUGAAUAAAUACAAGAUACACGGGAAGGAAAUACUAAGAACCCUGCAAGAUGUUUUCUGUUGGCUUCCACUGGCCACUCUGAUAGAUGAGAAAGUUCUAAUUCUUCAUGGUGGGGUGUCAGACAUAACUGAUCUGGAGCUUU
rnacentral:sRNA from 1 species